GUUUGAGUAAACUCCGGGAGUUGGUGAUGGACAGGGAGGCCUGGUGUGCUGCCGUCCAUGGGGUCGCAAAGAGUUGGACAUGACUGAACAGCAACGAAGUACUAGAAUCUCUCUUCAGGAAACCAAGACUUCUACAAGGCUCUCUUGUAGUCCAUAGCUCCAGAUCUUGCCAGACCACAGCCAAGAGAGGUUCAAGCAGGUUCAGGGUUCCUGCUGGUUCCAGUACCUGUGUCAAGCACCAUGAAAGGCUCUAGCUUAGAGUUUUCUUUUGUUCCUGUCUUUGCCACCCGACUAAAACCUGGAGCUUCCUUUGUGGCCCUGCCUGGUGUGCAGUGACUCCUCUCUAGGAUCUAAUGCUUUACCCAUCUGCUGCUGCUGCUAAGUCACUUCAGUCGUGUCCAACUCUGUGUGACCCCAUGGACUGCAGCCUACCAGGCUUCUCCGUCCAUGGGAUUCUCCAGGCAAGAACACUGGAGUGAGUUGCCAUUUCCUUCUCCAAUGCAUGAAAGUGGAAAGUGAAAGUGAAGUCACUCAGUCGUGUCUGACUCUUAGUGACCCCAUGGACUGCAGCCUACUAGGCUCCUCCAUCCAUGGGAUUUUCCAUGCAACAGUACUGGAGUGGGGUGCCAUUGCCUUCUACUUGAAGCUAAAAGGAUGGAACAAGUGUAGUGAAAUGCCCCAUGAAGAAGAAACUGGAGCUGCUAGGCAACCGUGUGUAAUCUUGAAAUGGAGCUUACACAGAGCAAGAGAUGAAAAGAAACUUGAUCCAAAUGACUUUGUUUUUAUUCUAAAUCUAACCAUGGCUGAAGCUGCUUCUUGAGUUUUCAGUGAUAUGAGCUAAAAAUCCAUUCUGUUGUUUAAUCCAGUCUGAGUUGCGUUCUAUUGCCAAGUGCAUCACAAGCAAAUCCACCUGAGGGAGUGCUGAAUGUAAUGGAUCCUAAAUUAUUAAAUUAGAUGAGCUGAGGCCAUUAGGAAGUGAUAUUUUGCUUUGAUAUUUGGUAAUUUUUUAAAAUAUUAAUGAGACAGUAGGUUAAUAUGUUACCUGUUUUGUUUGGCACUAAGACCAUGCCAGCGGGGCUGCAGCAUCUGAGGUUUGGAAUUAGAAAUUCAGGAUGCACCUUGGAAAGUGUUGCCUAGAUUUUUUUUUUUCCUUAAAUUCAUUUAUUUUUGGCUGUGCUGGUUCUUUGUUGCUGCACGCAGGCUUUCCCUAGUUGAGGCAAGUAGGGGCUACUCCCUAGCUGCGGUACGUGGGCAUCUCAUUUGACAGGGCACAAGCUGCAGGGCACGCACGCUUCGUGGUUAUGCCACACGGGCUUAGUUGCUCCACGGCCUGUGGGGUCUUCCUGGACCAGGGAUUGAACAGGUGUCCCCUGAAUUGACAGGUGGGUUCCUAACCACUGGACCACCAGGGAAGUCCCUGGGUUUUUUGUUUUUGCUUUUCUUAAAUCAAUUUCACAUGGAAUAUACAAUAAAUAGUCAAGCUUUAAAUAUAUAUGCAUAUACAUAUCAGUGUAAAACUUGAGUUGUCAGCUUUUUGAGUCUAAGACUAUUCUCCUGGAUAUAGCUUACCAAAAAUUAUGUGAACAAACUCUAGACGAACAGAAACAAAAUCACUAUCUGCUUCUCUGUUUCCAGUCUUUAUUAAUGGUACCAGCACUUUACAACUAAUCUGGCUCAGAAAUGUAGAGACAGGUUGACUGAUUGACACCUCAUUAUAUUGCCUCUAAUGACCUAUGAGAUGAAAGCCCUGUCUUUAUUCAGUGUCUUUUUCUUACAUUGAUAAUAUCCUCAUGUCAUAGACAUAUUAAAAUUCCCUGAUGUACAAUUGCUUUAAUUGCUUUCUUGUUCAAACAUCCUUUAAUAUCUCCCCGCAGUCAAAAACACCAAAAAAUCAAAUAUGUACACUAUAGUAUUCCAGUUGAACUUUUGUAUAAUAUGACUGCAUUUGAGCUGAAUUGCCUCCUACUAUUCUUCCUCACAUACACCUGAAGAGAAUUAUUCACAGUUUGACAGAAUCAUCCCAGACUUCCCUGCUUAUGUAUAUACUGUUGCUUCUGUCUCAAAUGUGUCCCCUUUCAUCAGUCUUUUAUCCUUCAACGUCUAAUUCAUGUUUUAUCUCCUCUAGGAAUCCUAUUCCAUUUCUAUAUCAGCUAUUAAUGUCAGUUUGCACUUCUCCCAAUGUUGGUUGUCACAUAUUGAUUUUGUAAUUAAUGUUAUUUUGUAUUGUAUUCCCCAAACUAUUAUAUGGAUACCUAUAGGAUAAGAACUACAUGAGCUAUGUCUUUAAAUAUGCUUCCCAACUCCAAGUUAAUUCUUUAGAAUUUUAGUGAAUUGUUUCCACAAUAUUUUAUAGGCAUAUUAAAAUAAUAAAGGCUCUUUACACUUUCAUAAAUAAAUUAGGACUGUAGCAUACUCAGUUUAGUGUGUGUGUGUGUGUGUG
ensembl:lncRNA